rnacentral:lncRNA from 1 species
AACACAUGGCUAUGGUCUGGAGUGGUUCAGGUGGUUAUAUGGUCAAAGGAGGUAUGUUCAUGGGCAGCAUCAAUUAGGUCAGUGAUUUGUGGGUUAGAGAUUGAGGUUUUGUGGUCAGGGUUUUGAGUGGGUGAAGUGGUUAUGUGGCCAUGGGAUAUGUGGUCAGGAGCAGAAGCUACAGAGAUAAAAAAAAACAGUUAGAUUUAAG